rnacentral:rRNA from 1 species
UACAGAGGUCUCAAGCGUUGUUCGGAUUCAUUGGGCGUAAAGGGUGCGUAGGUGGUGGGGUAAGUCAGGUGUGAAAUCUCGGGGCUCAACCCCGAAACUGCACUUGAUACUGCCUUACUCGAGUACUGGAGAGGAGAUUGGAAUUUACGGUGUAGCAGUGAAAUGCGUAGAUAUCGUAAGGAAGACCAGUGGCGAAGGCGAAUCUCUGGACAGUUACUGACACUGAGGCACGAAGGCCAGGGGAGCAAACGGG